rnacentral:rRNA from 1 species
GUAGGUGGCGAGCGUUGUCCGGAAUUAUUGGGCGUAAAGCGCGCGCAGGCGGUUCUUUAAGUCUGAUGUGAAAGCCCACGGCUCAACCGUGGAGGGUCAUUGGAAACUGGAGAACUUGAGUACAGAAGAGGAAAGCGGAAUUCCACGUGUAGCGGUGAAAUGCGUAGAGAUGUGGAGAAACACCAGUGGCGAAGGCGGCUUUCUGGUCUGUAACUGACGCUGAGGCGCGAAAGCGUGGGGAGCAAACAGGAUUAGAUACCCUGGUAGUCCACGCCGUAAACGAUGAGUGCUAAGUGUUAGGGGGGUUUCCGCCCCCCUUAGUGCUGCAGCUAACGCAUUAAGCACUCCGCCCUGGGAGUACGGCCGCAAGGCUG